GUUGCUUCAUUUUAGAGAUUUCGAUCAAUUAGAAGGAAGAACUUGAGAAUCUCGUUACUUUAGUUUAAAUGUUGAUUUCAGUGGCUAAUCUUUUAUGUGUUUAUAUGUUUUCAUCAGUGUUUCCAUGGAGCCUAAUAAUCGUUAGUUUCUUGAAGUCAACACACAACUAUCAAUCCCAAGGCUAAAUCACUUUAUCAAUUUAGUGCAUUCUUGGUCCAUAAAUGCUUUAGAUUAUGAGCAUGGAUAUGUUGUUGAUCACCAAAUGAUAUGGGU
rnacentral:lncRNA from 1 species